rnacentral:tRNA from 1 species
UAAAAAAUAAGCUAAAUAAGCUCUUGGAUUCAUACUUCAACUAUAAAGGUACAGUCCUUUUUUUUUAA